rnacentral:tRNA from 1 species
GCCCAGAUGGCGGAAUUGGUAUACGCGCCAGUUUCAGGUACUGGUGGCCGCAAGGCCGUGGAGGUUCAAGUCCUCUUCUGGGCA